rnacentral:rRNA from 1 species
UCAUUCUAGAUACACUUUCCAGUACAUCUACUAUGUUACGACUUAUCUUACCUUAAUAAUAAGAGCGACGGGCGAUGUGUACAUAUUUUAGAGCUAAAAUCAAAUUAUUAAUCUUUAUAAUUUUACAACCAAAUCCACCUUCAAAAACUUUUUCAUAAUUUUCUCCGUUUAAAUAAAUUUAUUGUAACCCAUUAUUACUUAAAUAUAAGCUACACCUUGAUCUGAUAUGAAUUUUAAUAAAAAUUAUUGAAUAUUAUUAUUCUUAUAAAAUAUUCUGAUAACGACGGUAUAUAAACUGAAUACAAAUUUAAGUAAGGUCCAUCGUGGAUUAUCGAUUACAAAACAGGUUCCUCUGGAUAGACUAAAAUACCGCCAAAUUUUUUAAGUUUCAAGAACAUAACUAUUACUACUUAAAUAUU